GACGAACGCUGGCGGCGUGCUUAACACAUGCAAGUCGAACGGAAAGGCCCUGCUUUUGUGGGGUGCUCGAGUGGCGAACGGGUGAGUAACACGUGAGUAACCUGCCCUUGACUUUGGGAUAACUUCAGGAAACUGGGGCUAAUACCGGAUAGGAGCUCCUGCUGCAUGGUGGGGGUUGGAAAGUUUCGGCGGUUGGGGAUGGACUCGCGGCUUAUCAGCUUGUUGGUGGGGUAGUGGCUUACCAAGGCUUUGACAGGUAGCCGGCCUGAGAGGGUGACCGGCCACAUUGGGACUGAGAUACGGCCCAGACUCCUACGGGAGGCAGCAGUGGGGAAUAUUGCACAAUGGGCGGAAGCCUGAUGCAGCAACGCCGCGUGCGGGAUGACGGCCUUCGGGUUGUAAACCGCUUUCGCCUGUGACGAAGCGUGAGAGACGGUAAUGGGUAAAGAAGCACCGGCUAACUACGUG
rnacentral:rRNA from 1 species